CAAACUCUCUUGUAUAAAAACAACUUGGCUUCAGUGCUUUCAUAUCCCAUGCUAAACUGCGUCUGAGGUCAUUCCUGAAUAACAUGAGCUUAGAGAUACCUGUUUUAUCAGGUGCUCUUCUCUAUUUUAGAAAACAACAACAGUAACAACAACAAAAACUCAAGAAACAGGAAUGCAAGCUCUACAUUUUGUUAAACUAAGGACAUUUCUUACUCGUAACAAUCAGAUAUAAAAAAGUGCUGCCACAGGGGCAAGAAUGAUGCUCAGAAGGUCUUUAAUGGCUACAAAUCUUGGAUUAAGCUGACUGAGCAGUUCUUACACCGAGAAGCAAAACAACAACCUUUUGUUUCAAGAAACAGGUGCAUCAUGCUAAUGCCUAUAUGUUUAUUCCUGCUACCUCCAAUAGUUCACUGAUAAUUCAGAUUCAGACCAAUGGAGAAACCAUGGGAGGAAAAAAACAAACUUUUACUCUGAUUUCCCUUGGAAUCCAGUCACCAUGCUGUGAGGAAAUCAAAGCCAAAGGGAAGUUUCACAUGAAGAGCAAUCAAGUCGUUUAGCCCUCAGCCUGAUGACCACCCUACUGACUGCUGCCCGUAGAUUAUAUUGCCACCAUGGAAGAGGAGGAGCUGGAAGGAGAUUCUGAAGCCUUGGGACAAAGCUGGUGCUGCGGCAGUCAGAGCAGAGAGACAGAAUGAUGCCACUGAUUGCUGUGCUUUUGGAGACUGUUCUACUUCUGAAUUUCCAAUUCAGUGAAAUAAUGCCUGUCCUCAUUUAUUAGCCUUUUAGAGUUGGGUUUUCUGGUUUGCUUUGUUUAAAGUAUUCAAAAUGGCACAUACUUCUACUUAGCUUUAAUGUUUCUUCUUUUUAUUUAUCUUAGGCUCUGCUGCUGUCCUGUCCAUAAGGUUAUUUGUUGGUAAAAUAUUAAACUACAGGAAACAUAACAGCCUCAGAAAAGCAUGACUCAACAUGAGCCUGGGACAACUCAGGGUCUCUCUACUGUGCACAGCAUUUGUUCUGCUUUCAAGGCUCCCCACAGCAUCUGAAGCUUUACAUCCCUGGAGGCAACUGCCCAUAUGUUUACCUUUAUUACCAACUGCAGUUUCCAGGCAUCUGCUAAAUUACAAUUUUGAGUGCUUAAUGGUGAUUUCAUUUGUGUAAAAAAAAAGCGGGGAGACUCUUUGCCCCUCAUUAACUUAGAAUGGCAUUGCACCACACCGUAGAGCUGGCAUAUAGGUAUAUUGAAAGAAGUGGGUAGAGCUAAGAGGAUUAGAAGCUUAUGUGUGCCGUGAGGAGGUAAGAAUCAGGUUGUGUUCAUGUGUGUUUAUGUCCUUUCUUGGAACAAUAAAGUAAACAGAUUUUCUCCUCUGAGAGAAAGAAAGUUUCAAUAAUAUAGAAAUAGCUUUGCCCCUAUCUAGGGCCCUUAUGUCUUUUUAACCCCAAGGGGCAUAUCACAGAGUGUAUAGGAGAAUAUGGCAAUAUAUCAAAGGCGAUAAAGGCCACAGAGCUACAGAUGUUCCCCCAUCCUAUGCAAGCUGCUUCUCUAUAGAGCCUUCCAUUCUGCAAAGCUUCCAGCUUGUUCUGUCAUAGCACCUGAUUAGACAGCCGUGCCUCCAACACUCUUGGCUGUCCUUUCUUUCCUUGGUUAACUUCUCUUGUCAGUGCAGUUGAGUUAUCAACAUGGUAUAAGUGUUACAUCAAUACCAUUUCAGAAAUAAAACACUAGCCAUGCAAAGGCUGAAGCAAAUUGUUUUCCAACUAAAUGCUGGCAGCCUGCUCUUAUAGAUUAAGACCAGGUUUCUCCACAAAGCACUGAAGCAGCAAAUUUAAAAGGAGGCAAAUAGAACAUAGACUAUAUAGCAACAGAGAUAAAACAGUUCAUUACCUAGCUAAUGUUUGCAUUUUUCUGCUUUAGAGCAUGUAAAAAAUUAGAGAUAACAAAAUGACACUUAAUAGACGCUGGACAUGUAGAGGGAAAUGUAGCUUUUAAAGACAUUUUUCUUCUAUUCCUGGCAAAAGUAAGCGAGGGAAAGGUGAAUGUAGCAGGUACAAAUCACACAGGCAGAAAAUACAGAGGAAAGACCUAAAGCCUAACUCAAUUCUAUGGAUUUUAAUUAUGGAAAUCUGGCCAAGUCACUCCCCUCCUUGCAGGGAUUGUUAUUACUUUAUUAUGAAAAAAUUGAAACAGUUGUCUUCUCUACUGCACAGGGUUGUGGCAAAAACAAAAUGGCAUUGUGAAUGUAAAAGUUCAUUAAAAACUCUAAAAUGUGAUAGCAUAAUGUAAACCACUUUUUUUUUUUUUUUUUUUCCAAAACGGAGUCUCGCUCUGUCGCCCAGGCUGGAGUGCAGUGGCGCGAUUUCGGCUCACUGCAAGCUCCGCCUCCCAGGAGGAUGGCUUGAGCCCAGGAGUUCAAGACCAGCUGGGUCAACAAAGUAAGACCUCGUCUCAACAAAAAAAUUAAAAAGUUAGCCAGAUGUAGUGGUGUGUGCCUGUGGUCCCAUCUACUAGGGAGGUGAGGUAGGAGGAUCGCUCAGGCCUGCAGUGAGCCGUGAUUGCACUACUGCACUCCAGCUUAGGUGACAGAGACAGCCCCUGUCUCAAAAAAAAAAAAGAAUAGAACAUUGGCUAGUAAUCUAAUCGGUGCUAAAGGCAUUUGGCAUUACCAGGCACCAGGCACAGGCUGGAGUAAGACAAAAUUGUCAUGUUUUGACAUGUCAUGAGACAAAAUUUAUCCUUGCCAUUUUCUAGGCUCUUGCCUUUCUCCUGAUUUUCCCUGCAUAGGUCAGACUCCUCACCUUCCCACUGCAUUUUCUUCACUCUUCUUAGAAAAGGGGAUUCUCUUGUUCUUCAUUAGGUGCUUCAACUGAUUUAAUGAGCAUCAACUAAUUUCACUUGUUUGUGUUUGGGUCAUUCACUUUUCAAAGUGUUCAUUCAGUUACUUCAUCCAUAAAAUGGUGACAAUGACAUCACAGCUUUGUUUAAUAAUUAAAUAAGACAAUCUGUGUAAAGCAUUUAUCAUAUUGUCCCACACAUAGUAAAGUUCAAUGAUUUCAUAGAUAUAAUUACAAUAUCAUAAUUAAGAUAAAGUUUUACAUUAUACUUUCAAAAGUUAGAUUUCCAAAUAGAAAUAGCUUGAGAGCUGGAAUGACUGUAUUUGAAACUCAGAUUUAUCAGUUACUAGUUGUGUGGCAUUAGGCACUGUUUCAACCUUGAUUUUCAGUUUUUAUAUGAUGGGAAAUAUAGUUAAUCAUUUAACUACUGCUAUUGUGAGGAUUAGGUGGGAAAGCCCUGGUCAAAGACUUGGCACUGAAAACAUUCAUAGUAAAUAAAUAUUAGCUAUUUGUUAUUAUUGUAGUAGUUUAGGAACAAUUUCAUAUUAUGCUUUUUAAAAAAUGCAUACAAUGGGGAAUGUUGGUUUUCUAUUUUGCCUGUUACUAAAAGUUCAUGCAAAUAAUAAUGUCCAGAAGUUUAGGGGAAAGAAUAUUUCCACAAGAACGAAGAGAGAGAUUUCACUAAUUGUAACUAAGCUUUGUUCUUCCCGACCCUCUAUUUCUGCUUCCAGAAGCUGAGACUCAGGUUAGCAUCUCACUGUAUUUCUGUGAGGAGGAGAUAUUGGUGCAAGAUCUCAAGCAGACAAGCAAAAUCCAUCCCUAUCCAACAACUCCUACCUAUUGAGCAAAUGAUUUAAAAAGUGGUUACUGUGCCAUCAGAAAAACUGUUGGGGAUUGAUGUGUCUCUUUUUGUUGAACUGGCUGAGUAGAUAAGUACACAGAAUAACUUAUACCAUCACUUUAUAUUUACGCUUACCUAAUAUGAUAUUGUUAUAGCUGUCUUGUGAAAUCAAGUUGUUUUCAGCUUGCUUCUGUCAUUCUUCCUUCUUCUUUGUGAUUAAAUAGAAACAAAUGAUGUAAAAUAUGUGCUGUUUUCUUUACUCUUCCUAACUUAUGUAGGUGGGAUGGGUAGCCUUUAUUAUCUUGGCAAACAUAGUGCAGGGAUAACUUGCAUUGUUGAAUUGAGUAGUAUAAUAGUGACAAUGCUAAAAACUCAGUGAUAGUUCAGGACUAACCACUGAAUAUUUGUUAUACAAUAUCUCAAAGUUCUCAGCUGGAUUAUGACAUUAUUUUAUUUAAAAUUUUCUAAUAUUUAAUAUGUCUUUUUUCUACAUUAUUUAAAUUGUUUUUGUAUUCUUUUUUGGUUUUAAAACAUAAUGAAUAAGAACAUAAAAUAAAACAUACAAAAAGAUUUAACUGCUUAAACAUAAUGCAAAUUUGAGACAUAUUCAUGUAAUUGAUGGUCUCUAAGCAAGUAAUAGUUGAUUAAAUUGUUUGUAAUUUGUAGAAAAAUAAAUGCACCAAAAUGUUUGUAUGCUAUAUAUUGAAAUAUUAUUUUAUUAUUUCAUUCAUGCUUAUUCAUUGAAGACUAGGAGUGAUAUC
rnacentral:lncRNA from 1 species